ensembl:lncRNA
CUUCUGAAACAUUUAGGUGUCAAAAUAAUGUAAUAUAUAAAUUUUUAAAAACAUAGGCCUAAUUAAAGUACCAUAAUGUGACCAUAUAAAAUCUUACAUGGAUUUAUUUAUUUAUUUGAGUGGUAUUUUUCACUGGAGCAUUGACAGAAACAGCAGUUUAUAUCUGUAUUAGAUCUAUAAAUUAAAUAUAGAUAAUUAAAUAAAGUUAAAUACAUUAAAAUAUAUUAAAGUUGAAUAUAUUUAAAUAGAUAAUUAGAUUGAAAUAAUAUUAUAUUCUAUUAAAUAAUUAAAUAAUAAAUAUUUAACACAUAGAUUUAAAUUAAAUGAAAUAGUGUAUUUUAACGUGCGCUGGCCACGAGGGGCGUUAACGUGAUGUUACGUGAGUGACGUAAACGUGAUGGCAAAAAAAAAAAAAAAAAAAAAAAAAACGUAAACGUAACGUGAUGGCGCAAAUAACCACGAAGACGGAAGAAUAAUUCUGUUUAUUACAAAAGACUGAAGAUAUAACUGCCGCCAUCCUUUAAUUUAUUUAUUUCUACGUUGAGGACACUUUAUAAACCUACAGAGAUACCGGACCAACGAACGACCUUCACAACGGGACGGAGCUAACGUAAUUAACGUUAACGGUUACUUGGAAAUUCAAACAGUAACGGUCAUCUGACAACUGCGCUGAGCCAAAGGACGGGAACAGCAACAAGAGUUUAACUUCUGAUUCGUAAUCUACACACUCUACUGGGCAGUUCAUGAAGACAGAUGUUGUGACGACCAGGACAGUUCCUCCUACCACACCAGACUUUGCUGUAUAUGGAUGCCUGACCACUAGCACUGGACAUUUACAACAUUUUGGCGCCAGGGAUCCCUUGCAGAGAAGAUUUUUCAAAGACACCCUCAGAAUUACAACAGAUUUUAAGGCUUAAAAUUAUUGUGGGUGGGAGUAUAAUGAACAUAAUAUGAUUGUUUUAUUUUAUUAUUAUUAUUUAUUUUUAAAUAGUUCCCAUUUUUUAAUAAUACAUUUGUUUAAUAAUACAGCACAAUAUAGGGCUAAGUUGCACCAGGUCAGGAAAAAACACAUAAGUUGCAUCCGUGUAUAAGACACAUUUUACUAUUAAUUUCAGAAAUAAUUUAAAUACUGAUAAAUAAAACAAACGUUAAGAAACUUAAAAACUAUGAACACUGUAAAGAUUUUAUUUCCCCCCACUUCAAAUCAUUUAAAUUGAAUACUAUUCAAAACAGAAUAAAAAUAAAAAUAUUUAGGCCUAUGUAUAAAAUAAAAUAAAUUCUAGUGCCAUUAUUUACAAGCAGUAUAUCUUUUGUUAAUUAAAAUGCACUUGCUAUCUCAGUUUCUGUGAACCUCAUUCUGAAAUGUAGAAAACACAGUGGUACAGACAAUACCACUGUGCACAGACAGGCUUGUCACACAGACAUGAGAAAUAUACUUAUAGAAACCUGUAAGUGCCCGCUUUUAUGUGUUUACGUUUUGCUUAGAAUAAUUCAGCACAUCUCAGAAGAUUAAAAAAAAAGACCAGUAGUCUGGAAAAUAUGGUAUAAAUUAUUUUGUUGACCCCUUUGCUUUGGUCCUGAACCCCAGAUUGAAAACCCUUUUUUAUUAUUAUUAUUGUGCAUGCAGAUAAUAUUUGGACACAUGAACACUUGACUAUUGCGUGAAUAAAGAAUACCAUCUUUAAGAAUUUUAUGCUAAUUGCAGUUUAAAUAAAAAUGAAAAAGCUUAAAAAGUUAAACUCCAAUAGGUGAACAUAAUGUGUGGACCCAACUAAACUAAAUUGUUUGUUGUUAAUUGUUAUCCACUGUAUAAUGAGUGACAUUUCUUUUAUUUCAUGGUUUUUGUGUGAACACACUGUUUCUUUAAGUUUAUUUACAAGUACAAAAAGAAAUUGCAUUGAAAUAAACAUGAUAUUUAAUUGAAUGCAGCCUAAGAGUGUUUAUUUUGUUCAGAAACAGUAUAAAUGACGCCUAA